CACUGGAUUUCACUUAACCUUAUCUCUACCACCACCAAACCACACUGCCUUCCACAGACCCCCAACUUAAAACCUAGAUCUCUCUCUCUCUCUCUCUCUCAACCCAUUAAUCCUUUUAGUUUCGAUCUCGUUUACUCUUUCACUCUCACCCUCUCAAUUUCUGCAAUUUUAGGUGGAAUGAUUCGUGAAAUCCCCAAUUCGGCAGCGUUGCAAAGUGACUGUUCUGCUCCGUCGUGUGGGACCAGCAAGGGUUCCUCGCCCAUCGCCUCCUCCUCCGUCCACGAUAACGUCAUGAUGCUCACUUUGAGUCCCAACCUCCCUCACCUCCGGCUCUUCACCGCGACCCAAAAGUGGCGAUUGCUUCUGUGUUUCUUAUGAGGUUCAGCAUAUGGUUUGUGGUAGAUCAAUAUAUGCAGAAGGUACAGUUGAUGCUGUAAUUUUCCUUGCUAUGAAGGGAAGUGUCAUCAAUAUAGCUUGUUUGUUGGUCUGGUUUGCAAUGUGGGAGAAGCCAACCAUAGUGCUAUUGCCCUAGGUUGUAUUGCAUCAGAUAUGACUACUGAGCUAGGGGUUGACACCAUCCCCAAUAGGGAGAUAUGCUCAACGUGAAGAGAUUGCCGGACUUGUGGAAUUCUUGUAGGAAAAUUCUGAUUGAAGGAAAGAGUUGGACAAGAUGAAGCAGAAGUCUGUUAAUCGAGGCAUUCUUUUAGAAGAGAUUAUGAAGGUAGCAGCUAGAUUCAGAGUGAUGCCCUCUUACACUCUUAGUUUGUAUUAGGAUCUUCAUGUCCCUGGAUUAGUUUGUAUUGGCUACGAUCUUCAUUAAGCAAUUCAUUUUUGCAAUGAGAACUCUUGUCAAGUACUCGAUGAUAAUUAUCUAUAUAUGUCUGAUCAUUUUUUAUU